AGGGAUGUGAUAGAAUGUAGAAAGAAUCUUGAGACACAGUUAGAGGAUCUCUGCAUCAGAUCUUCACAAAGCAGUUUGAAUCUUCAAAAUUUAACGAAGUAGCUCAUCCUUUUCCCGUCGAUACAUUGAACAGGUGAGGAAAGUUCGCCUUGCGGAGGAUUCAAGAACUCGAGGGAUUGAAAAUCUGAAUAAAAACGAACUGGAUAAAUCUAAUGUCCAGAGAAAAUGGGUGUAUGAAGAAAUAGCCAGCAUUUCAUCAGAGAAGAGUAAAAAUCCUGCGUCGUCACCUCACACAAUUGUCGCUACCUUAACUGAAGUAGGAUCUAAUGCUGCACUUAACUUUCUGUUUGCAUUUUUCCGUCGCGUAUGGCAAUCAGGCGAAGAGGGGGUUGCCUGGUUUGAGAUGCUGAUUCACGCACUAGAAUCACAUCGCAGUUGACCUCUCGCGUCUAUCUUUCACCUUCUACAUCAAGUGGAUAAUAGCACAUAUGAC